rnacentral:tRNA from 1 species
GGUCCCAUCGUCUAGAGGCCUAGGACACCGCCCUUUCAAGGCGACGGCACGGGUUCGAAUCCCGUUGGGACCGCCA